ACAUGUAUAAGGCCAAGGCUCAACCUUGGAUCGCAUGGGAAACUGCUUGGCUUGAGUGCAGGAGAGGAAAGUGGAAUUCCACGUGUAGCGGUGAAAUGCGUAGAGAUGUGGAGGAACACCAGUGGCGAAGGCGACUUUCUGGCCUGUAACUGACGCUGAGGCGCGAAAGCGUGGGGAGCAAACAG
rnacentral:rRNA from 1 species